rnacentral:lncRNA from 1 species
GUGGCGGCUCUGCAAUACCCCAAGCUCUGGAGGGCUGGGGGCCUACUAGGUCAGGUCGGCUGUAGGAUUCUGCUCCAGGGUUGGCGGCUGCUUCUUUCUGGCCUGGCUGCCACUGAGUAGCCGAGGGGCCGCCGUGACCCUCUGACUGAUUGACUGGCUGGCUGCCUACGUCGGCGCUCCUCAGGGCCCCAAGCUCCUCAGGCCGAACUUCGGGGUUGGAUUGCUCAAGAGUUGUGCUGAGACCCAGAAGGCUAGAGGCUAGUUUCGAAGCUGUAGCUCAGGCUGAGUCUCAAGGCGGGCGGCGACUGGACGGCCAGACCGGCGAGCUCUUGACGGGUUUGUGGCCUGAUUGUUUGGAUUUGGUGCUUUUCACCUGUGGAUGCGGUCUGAAGCCAUGUCAGAGGGGUUGUGUUUAAGCGUGCAUGUUAUAGGCUAUGGGAGUGAUAAUCUUGCCUCUCCCCCUCUGAGUUGAGGAACAAUCGAAGAAAUAAGCAAAGGUGCCAAGCAGGCUCCUGAUGGGCACCAGCGAGCUUGGGGACAGAGCAGUCCAAGCAUAGAAGUCCUGGCAAGCCUGGACCUUCCUGGAAAGUCCUUUCUCUCUCUUCCACCCUGGUCUGUUGCUCCAUAUGCAACAAAUAUUUGAAUGUCGCUCUUCCGCCCGAGGUCAGCCCUGGGCAGUGGGUAGUGGGGGUGACACCCCAGUCUGCUGGGUGCCUGAGGAUCUCCAUCAGUCAGAUGGCCAAGAUG